CACGCGGUAGCGCCGAGCCCUACCACCGCGCCCGGGGCCGGAUGUACAGGUAGGGACGGGGGACCCAGGUUCUCCGGAGUCCGGUUCGCCGGCUCCUUGGGGUGAAGCCACUCGCUGCGAGGCGAGCGGCCGGGCAGUCUCCAGCCCGAACCCGACAGCUCACCUCGCAGGCGUUUCGGAGGAAUGAC
rnacentral:sRNA from 2 species